AUUGAACGCUGGCGGCAGGCCUAACACAUGCAAGUCGAGCGAGCGGCGGACGGGUGAGUACUGUAUGGGGACUGCCCGAUAGAGGGGGAUAACUACUGGAAACGGUGGCUAAUACCGCAUACUAUCGGAUAACCCAUAUGGGAUUAGCUAGUAGGUGGGGUACAGGCUCACCUAGGCGACGAUCUCUAGCUGGUCUGCUAGGAUGCUCAGCCACACUGGGACGGAGACAGGGCCCAGACUCCUACGGAGGCAGCAGUGGGGAAUAUGGCACAAUGGGCGAAAGCCUGAUGCGGCCAUGCCGCGUGUAGGAAGAAGUCUUUAGGGUUGUAAAGUACUUUCAGCAGGGAGGCGUUACCCGCAGAAGAAGCACCGGCUAACUCCGUGCCAGCAGCCGCGGUAAUUC
rnacentral:rRNA from 1 species